rnacentral:lncRNA from 1 species
AAAUAACUUCACAAAAUGCCCUCACGAGUAUGCCCUUUAUACAAAGGUAAAUGAGAAAGGAGAUAUUUUGCUUGUUUGUUUGUAUGUAGAUGAUCUUAUAUUUACAGGAAAUAAUCAAAGUAUGAUCACUGAGUUUAAGAAGGUCAUGGCUCAAGAAUUUGAGAUGACGGAUAUCGGCCACAUGGCCUACUAUCUUGGGAUAGAGGUAAAGCAAAUGGAGGACUGCAUUUUCAUCUCACAAGAAGGAUAUGCGAAAGAAAUUCUAAAGAAAUUCAAUAUGGAGGACUGUAAGCCCGUAUGCACCCCCGUCGAAUGCGGAAUCAAGUUGUCGAAGAAUGAUGAAGGUGAAAAGGUAAAUCCAACACUUUUUAAGAGUCUUGUUGGAAGUCUAAGAUAUUUGACGUGCACAAGACCAGAUAUCCUUUUUGGAGUUGGGCUCAUUAGUCGCUAUAUGGAGACACCUACCAUGACCCAUAUGAAAACUGCAAAGAGAAUUCUUCGCUACAUCAAAGGUACGCUUGAUUAUGGCUUAGUCUAUUCAUCAUCUAAUGAGUUCAAACUUGUUGGAUAUAGUGACAGCGAUUGGG